CGUUCCAUCUUCCUAAACAUGUUAGGGUUUUUUACAUUGAAGUCGCCCUGUUCUUCUCCGUCUUCAAUCUUCGAUCUUCAUCUAAAUGGUACACUCGAAACCCUAGCGCCUCCCUCACAUUUUCUACAGAUCCAUAUGUUGGAAUGGAAGAGUUUCACAGUCACGAAACCCUAGCCAUCAUCAUCUUCCCUGUUUUGAUUUAAGAAGAAAACCCGUACACGAUUUUGAUUUUUCAUUCAUAUUGUCUGACGAUUCUUUUCCCAUCAGCAGCAACUCUCACUGCCACCACCGCACUCCAUCCUACCGUCGCAUCACCACCGUCUCCUCUCACAACUGCGUCAACGAAGCACCGUCCAAAUACCUGCGCUCGUCUUCAUUGUCAUUCAGGGACGUAGGGCGUUGCUGGUAGCUAAAGAUAAAAAUCCAAAGAUUUCCAAAGCAUAUUCAAAGACCAUCCAAAUCAAAGCCGAAUCUUCUCCACUUCUCUCAUAUCAAUCAUUGUUGCAAAUGCUCAAGAACGAUUCUUGCAUAUCAUCAAGAACUAUCCACAUAAUCAAAGUUAAGCACUUCAAUUUCUUAUUUGUCGUUAAGACUGUCGGUUUUUAAUAAUGAUUUUGAACGUCGUUUUUUAUUGUUAUGCUAAUGUCGAUUUUGAAGAACAAUACCAAAUAUCGAAGAAAUCAAAGGUAUGUUUAUCGUUUUGUCAUCUCUUUUUUUUGUUCGACUAUGGGCAAGAUCAAGUACUUCGAAAAGUAUUUUGAUGAUACAUUUGAUCACAGGUAGUAGUUUUUCAUUUUUUUCUUUAUUAAUAUUAGUUUGAUAGUUGUUUUUUGCCUGUAAUCAAUCUGUGUAGAUUAUGUUUUCCGAAUAAUUCGAUUCACUAUUUGGGAUAUGUAUGCUUCACAUUUUGAAAGCAAUAUAUGAACACUAGGGUUGAACGAAUCAAUCUAUGAAUGUUCUUCGCUGCUUUAAUACUGAUCUUGUGUAUCUGUUGUCUAGGUAGAAUUUUAGGAACAUGAUGUCAGCAAAAGGUUCGAAAAUGCUACGUAAUUUUAGUUACACUCACGACUAUCGCCUUUUUUUUGCCGAUAAGUCUUCUUUACCACCAUCACCACCUGAUGAUUUUCGCUGCGGUUUUAGAUAAUUAUGGAUGUUUGUGAGCCCUAAUUUGGAUGCAAUUAAGUAUAACGGUGGCUGGCGGUUAAUGUGUUAGUUUUUUUAUUGUUUCUGUUUCAGAUAAAUGAUGUCUUCUGCGGAUUCGUGGAUGAGGGAGUAUAAUUAAGCGUCUAAACUUGCUAAUGACAUUACUGGUAUGAUAUCAGAGAGGAGUUCGUUUGUAGCAGGGUCCGAAGCUCAGCGUCAUUCGUCUGCGAUUCGGAGGAAGAUUGCGAUAUUGGGAACUAGACUUGAUAGUUUGCAGUCUCUUCUGACAAAGCUUCCUGCAAAACAGCCUCUAACGGGGAAAGAAAUGAACAGACGCAGACAUAUGCUUGCAAAUUUGAGAACAAAAGUAACACAGAUGGCGUCCAUGUUGAACAUGUCAAGCUUUCGUAAUAGGGACAACUUGCUUGGGCCAGGUACUAAAUAUCUGGGUUGGUGGCUGAUGAUGGGAGAUUAUGGCGCCGGAAUUUCAGGUCGAUGGUGAUGGUGGUGCCCUUCACCAUUAAUCAGUAUGGUAUUGAAUAUAGGAGACUUGAUGGCUCAUUGUCUUCAUCUGCAAGGGAUAGUGCUGUUAAAGAUUUCAACACUGAUCCUGAGGUGGCUUCCUAUUCUUUAUAGUUAUUACAUGAAAAUAAGUCCACUGAUUGCUAGAGUUAGCAAAACGGGUGGGUCGGAUAAAUGUUUGGGUCAAAUAAAAUUAUUUUUCCUUAUAUGAGUUGAAACAAGUAAGGCUAACCAACUUAUUAUUAUAGGGCUAAAAAAAUCACACUGAAGUUUCAAAAUGGUUGAUUUGCCAUAGUUAGUUAAGAUAACCUGUUAACUUAUCUUGAAGUAGAAAAGUUGGAAAUUGGCUACCUUAAAUAAAAAAGUUCUAAACUUUAAUGCAAUCAAUUUUUUUUUAAACAAAUUAGCGUUGAAUGAUAUUACAAAAUUUUAGUAUUUCAUAAAUAAAAUGAUUUAGGAGGUUUUAUCAAUUAAAGAUUCACU